rnacentral:rRNA from 1 species
UACGUAGGGUGCGAGCGUUAAUCGGAAUUACUGGGCGUAAAGCGUGCGCAGGCGGCGCGUUAAGACAGGUGUGAAAUCUCCGAGCUUAACUCGGAAAGGUCAACUGAUACUGCGCGGCUAGAGUGCAGAAGGGGCAACUGGAAUUCUCGGUGUAGCGGUGAAAUGCGUAGAUAUCGAGAGGAACACCUGCGGCGAAGGCGGGUUGCUGGGCUGACACUGACGCUGAUGCGCGAAAGCCAGGGGAGCGAACGGG